ensembl:lncRNA
AGAUGCAGGAUGGCGUCAGGAACAAGUUACCGUUAUGAUGUGCAAACAGAACAACCCGACUCUUCCAUUUCAGAAUCUACAACAAAGGAGGGACCAUCUUUGCAAAAAGGCUGUACUCAAAACAUGUUUGUUAAUGAUCUUGGGAUCCAAGAUUUGCGAAGGUAAGACAACAUCUGAUUCAGUAGCUUGGGAGAGAGAUCUCUAUUUGAAUCAGUGGCUCCUGGGAGCUGUGCCGAGUCUAAGUCCGGAUUACUCUGAGUAUUCUGGCCGUCGUUUCCUGCCCAUCUCCCUUCGUUCUUGGCUUCAUACAUUAAUGCAUUGGGAAACUCCAUUCUUGCUGGCUCCCCUGUGGGCUGGUUUUCAAAAUGAGCUGCCUCUUCAAGAGGAGCUUUGUAGAUCUGGCUAAGGACCCUGCUCUCAGCCGAGAGCUGUUAAGCCUUCUUGAAUCUAUUUUCUCUAAAGUAGCUCUCUGCUGCCCUCCACUGGCAUUCAGGCUCUAGAGCUAGCUAGCUCUGCAUCUGCCAGCGGAUUCACCGCAUCUAGGGCUCCAAGUGAGAUGUGGGAGCCUUAUUAACCACACUAUGUAUAGGUUUUUUAUAGCAUGAAAAAUAGAACUCAGGUCCCUUUGUAUCCACUUAUACUUCGUGGUCUCACUUAUUUCCUAUAAGUUUGCUGGUGGGCAGUGGUCAAGUGUAUCUGACUUUAUCUUCAAGUAUUUGAAAGUAUUACUUGCAAGUAUAGAAUUUCACUUUAAUUAUAAAGUUGAAAUGUACUUCAGCUGACAUGAUACUAGACCACAAAUUUCUGAGCCUGCUGUAUUUACUCCGCUGUAAGGAAUAUUAAAAUUUUAUCUUUGAUGUUAUAAAGAUAGAGUGAAUUAUAUGAAAUUAUAUGAAAUCCCUAAAUAAGUGCAUUAAAUUUUUUUUUAAUGAAUACGUAUUAGACACAUGCUAUAUGCCAAGUACUCUUCUUGGUGCCGAGAAUACAGCAUUGGAUACCUUUACAUCUUCCGCCUUCAUCGAGUUUGUUUCUUAUUUUAGGAAUAUAAACAUUAGACAAAUUAAUAAGCAAAAUAACCUUUAAGGGAUUAUGUCAUUACUUUAAGGGAUUAUGCCAUUUAUUUCCUAAAAUAACUGCAGUGAUUCCAUUUUUAAGAAUAUAAAUAUUAAAAUUAAGAGGGGCAUAACCAGAGGUUAGGUAGGGAUUAUGUAGGCUACAAAUAUUUAAUGUGUUAUUCAUUCAUUCAUUCAUUCAUACAUUUGUUGUGAUUAUAGUACUGGCGUAUAAAAGUAAUUGGUGCAUAUAAGUGUCUGAAGCCCUCAGCUGUAAAGAUGUUUUAUCUUUUGAGUCUCUCACAAUCUUCUCUCUUGUCAGAAUGUCAGGGAGUGCCAUCUUGUCACCCCCUGUAAAAGCUGUCAUGGAAGCCCCUGCUUAUUGCUGUCUUGAAGAUGGGCUCUGUUACUGUCUUUCCUUUUCUCUUUGUCUUUAUUAUGUUCUCUUUUUAUGUCUUUUGCUUUUCCCACAGUAGAUCCCACUAGCCAAAUGGAGUAAAUUUUUCCUUUCUAAUGUGGCAGAAGUACCAAUCGUAACUAAGCAGGUAUAGUCAGCUGGUCUUCUCUAAUCUACCAGGUCUGUUUGAGUUGAUUGUCUAUCCCAGGUGAAACAUGAUUGGUUUGGGAAAAAACCAAACCAAAACAAAAUAACCAAGUAGUAUCGACAUUAAUUACAGGUGUGAUUUUUCGAAAUGCUGUAUUGGUUGAAGAUUUCCUCCAAAUGUGUUAUCAGGGGUGCAGGGUCAUAACAAACUUCUUGUCCUUUCUCAGGGAAAAUGCCAUUGCCUUCACCCACGUUCUGAGCCAUCAUAAAUGACUUGUCAGAAAAGCAGCUUCUAACUCUCCCAGUUGAGUAUGAAGCUUAGAUGGUUUCAUACCCUUAUUUUUUGAGUGAGAUUAGCUGUCUAGCUUCAGAGUCUAAGCCAGAGUUGGCCUUGACACAUACACAAUGUCUUUGGCCAUAAGUUCAACAAUUACUUUACAUAUCAUUUAUGGCUAACUUGAAAAAAAAUCAUGCAUGUAACAUGUUUAUACAGCUGCCUCAGUACUUGUACAAAUUCUCUGAAACAACAUAUGUCCUCCCUGUCUUUUGCACUGCAGAACAGCACUCCUUGUGUAGAUAAGUGCUUUGAUAUUUUUGAGAGAAGAGUUCUGAACUUGUAGGAUGCUCUUAAAUUUUAGAGGGUUUGGCAGGUUGGUGUUUAAAUAAUCCAGGCUUUAACAUUGCUGAUUUGAAGUGAUCAAAUGGAUGAGGUGAGGGGUUUUUCUGUUUAAUUGAAUACGUUGUCCACUGUAAGGUGCACCAUUAUUUAAUAGACUAUAAAGAAAGAAAAAAUAAAAGCGCUGUAAAUUAACUGUGAUGUGCCACAAAUUGUGAGAUGCAUCUGUAUCUCAGAGAUGUUGAAAUACGUGUCUUACAAUCACAUGAAGUGUGGUAUUUCUCCAUUUGCUUUGAAAGAUUCAGAUAAAAUGAUAAAGUAGAUUCUUGGGAAGACGCAUCAAGCAAUAAACACAUAUUGACUACAGUAACACGAAGAACCAAAAACUUGACAGCCAAAACUUUAUAAUGUGACAAUUAUGUUUCUCAGUGUAUUUACAGAUGUUUUAAAAAUAACUGCUGAUAAAUCUUUAAUUCUUUACAGGAAUUCUGAGAUAGCUCAGGAUUUCUAAUUGAUAUGUUUGCAUUAAAAGAAAAAAAAGUCCAUAUUUUGGAAAAAAGCUCUAUAAUACACUAGUGAUUCAGGUUUGUUGGGUGAGAAGCUUCCUCCUUCUCUUUGAAGGAUUUUUCUGAGUAGAACUUUCCAGUUUUGUUGUAAUGGUAUAGUCUUCUACUAGUAAGACACACCAUCAUUUCACUGGAGCAUGUGGGUUAGAACAACUGGUAAGAAUCUGAAGACCCAUCUCUUCUUAUAUAUGAGUUAAAAGUGUAUAUUUUUUAACAAAUUAUUUUAUAAAAUAUCUUUGAUUUUUGCUUACUUCUAAUUUUAAUACAGACUUGCUGUAAAUUUUUUCCCAUAUAUUAUAAAGAAAAUAAAUGUAAAUCACCUAUUGAGACAAAACUCACAGACAACUUCAGUUAACGUUUUGCACAAUUAAAAAAACAGGCCUUUUAAUAUGCAUAAAUAUAUAUGUACUAUAUAGUGUACUUUGAAUAAUUUAAAUCUUUCUGUGAGUUAUGCUUAGGGUUCUGCCUUUUUCAUCAGUGUUGUAUAUGAGCAUUUCCCAUUACUGUUUUGACUUUUGAAAACCACUGUUAUCAUACAUAUUAAGUCCUGUUUAUAUUAUUUUAUGGAUUGGCAGUGAACAAUGUAACCAUUGCCCAUUUAAUCGCUGCUUCGCAUUUAGGUCGUUUCCAAUUUUUCAUCAUUAAAAAAUUGAGACGUGCAACUUUGUACUUAGAUUUGUUUCUCUACCUCAGAGUAUUUCCUUUUAAUGUUUUUAUUUUUGUUUAGUUUAGUUCUUUUUUUAGUGGUUGCACCAUUGGCAUAUGGAAUUUGCCAGGCCAAAGACUGAGUCUGAGCCUUAGCUGUGACCCAUGCCACAGCUGCGGCAAAACUGGAUCCUUAACCACAGCAGGAAUGUCAGUACAAAUCUUUCUUUAAAAUUUGCAAUGUGAUGAUCCCAAGGAUAUACUGUAUAAAGUACUGGGAGGGGAUCUAACUCCUCAAAGGCCGAAGGCAACUCUCCUCACUAUCAUUUAAUUUAAAAAACUCAAAGCACUUUCAUAGUUCUAUCCUCUGGUACAUGUAUGAAGGAGGAAAGGAUAGAAGUUAAUAUCUUUGUUUUAUAUCUAGAUAUACAGAUGUAGACAUACAGGGAGGAUCUCCGGACAAAGAUUGUAAAACAAAGUUUGAAAUUUAUUAUUUACUCCAAUCACUAUUGUUUGUGUGACUUUUAGCUUCCUCAGUUCAGCUCUGCACUCUGUGCUGCCUCCUGGUUGUCCCAUGUUCCCCAAUGCAGCCUCCCUCUCAGCUUCACAGGAGCAUCCAUGUUCUGAAAUUUUCUCUCCCUCUCAAGCUUCCUUCAUUAAAAGUUGCAUGUGAGGUGUUUGGUCCUACUGAGUAACCUGUUACCUACUUUGGUUAGCUAAUUCCAAUUUGGGUUAAGUACUCAAUGUUAUUCUCUUAGAGUGAAGGCUGUGCCCAGUUUACAUCGUGAGCUAGAUCACAAAUACACACACACACACACACACACACACGCAACUGAAAUAAAGGAUUUAUGAAAUUAUACUCAUUACUUGUGAUACACUCUAUUUUUUAUUCUGUUGUAUUCUAUUUAAAAACUUACUGUUUGGAUCCCACUGAGUGAGGUAUCAACUAUUAACAGGUUGAUGAACUACAGUUUAACAACAAGAGGGUCUUUUUACCCUUAUAACACAGAUAGGUUAUACUCACAGAAGAGAAUGAAGGGAAGUUCAAACAGGGUAUAUUUUUGAAAAAAAAAAAA